rnacentral:rRNA from 1 species
UACGUAGGUGGCAAGCGUUGUCCGGAAUUACUGGGCGUAAAGAGCGCGCAGGCGGCUGGUCAAGUCCGAUGUGAAAGCUUCCGGCUUAACUGGGAAAUUGCAUCGGAAACUGAUCGGCUUGAAGGUGGGAGAGGGUAGUGGAAUUCCCGGUGUAGUGGUGAAAUGCGUAGAUAUCGGGAGGAACACCAGUGGCGAAAGCGGCUCACUGGACCACAACUGACGCUGAGGCGCGAAAGCUAGGGGAGCAAACAGG